rnacentral:rRNA from 1 species
AGGCAGCAGUGGGGAAUAUUGGCAAUGGGCSCAAGCCUGAUCCAGCCAURCCGCGUGAGUGAAGAAGGCCUUCGGGUUGUAAAGCCCUUUUGNNNGGAAAGAAAAGCANUNGGUUAAUACCCNGGUGUUMUGACGGUACCNAAAGAAUAAGCACCGGCUAACUUCGUGCCAGCAGCCGCGGUAAUACGAAGGGUGCAAGCGUUACUCGGAAUUACUGGGCGUAAAGCGUGCGUAGGCGGUGGUUUAAGUCCGAUGUGAAAGCCCUGGGCUCAACCUGGGAACUGCAUUGGANACUGGAUCRCUAGAGUGUGGUAGAGGRUAGUGGAAUUNCCWGUGUAGCAGYGAAAUGCGUAGAUAUCGGAAGGAACACCUGUGGCGAAGGCGACUMYCUGGACCARCACUGACACUGAGGCKCGAAAGCGKGGGAGCAAACAGGAUUAGAUAC